rnacentral:lncRNA from 1 species
AGAAAGGAGAGAGAGGAGAGAGAAUGAGGGUAGGAGGAGUAAAAGUGCCCCAUAAGCAACUAUAAGCAACCCAAAAGUUGCUUAUUUGCUUAUGCAUAAGCAACUUAUAAGCAAGUCUAUAAGCAAGAGUGUUUGGGUUAUAAGCAACUUAUUUGCUUAUUUUUAAGUUGCUUAUGAAUAAGCAACCAUAACCAAACAGGCCC